UGCGCUAUCAGAUGAGCCUAGGUCGGAUUAGCUAGUUGGUGGGGUAAUGGCUCACCAAGGCGACGAUCCGUAACUGGUCUGAGAGGAUGAUCAGUCACACCGGAACUGAGACACGGUCCGGACUCCUACGGGAGGCAGCAGUGGGGAAUAUUGGACAAUGGGCGCAAGCCUGAUCCAGCAAUGCCGCGUGGGUGAAGAAGG
rnacentral:rRNA from 1 species